rnacentral:lncRNA from 1 species
AUGCUGAACGGGGGAAGGGAGGGCCUGUUUCAACUGGGACAGCAGCUCCAGCAACAGGGGGAGUACCAGGCCGCCCUCCACUGCUUCCUUAGCUCUCUGCUGGGGUUAAGGCACGUGCAGAGCUUCACUUCGCUGCCCAACUGCCUUCACCAGAUUGCUGAACUCUUCAUCUCCGAAAAUAAUUACGGCAAGGCCCUGCAGUUCAUUCAGGCUGAGAAGAUGUUCUACGAGGUUUCUCUAAUUGAGCUCACUGCUGUUCAGGGGAGCACAGGCCCCCAGAAGGAGGCUUUGCUGGGCUCGUCUGGGACAGGAUGGGCAUCCCCAGAGGAGCUAUCGGAUCAGGCCUCCCAGGCACAGCAUUUUGAGCGGCUGGCCCAGCUUUGCAUCAUGAGUAAAAGACCUCAUCUCGCUUUAGAGUACAGUGGGAAAGCCACUAAGAUCCAUCAGAGGGCCUUUGGCAGCGACCACCCCGUCACAGACAAGAGUCUGGAGCUGCUGGCCACCGUCUACGCAGAAAUUGGCAAAACAGAAUACUCAGAUUCCCUAGGCCAGUGUGUGUCAGCGCUUUCCAAGAGGUUUGCUACUGCCGAGUCCUUCAGAGACACACUCAACAACGGUCUUUCCCAUUCCCAUUCCCACCGGGAUAAACGCUCUGAGGUCCGGCACAGGAAAGACCCCCGCCCACUGUUGGACACACCAAAACCCAAGGUCACCAACGGUAAAAUCCCCAUGUCCAUACUGAAGAGAUCUGGCUCAGGAUCAGACUCAGAGCCCAGCCACAGACGGAAAGGCGAGCGGCGGGUCCGGUUCAGGGAGCCUGAAACCACUGUGCAUGCCUAUGACACAUCACCGCCCAGCCCCCACCUGGCCCUGUUCACUUGCCUGUUCCUGCUGAUGUCACUGCUGGGCGUGGCCAUGUUCUGCACGGACCGCCGGCGCCCACAGCGUGUCUGUGAGGAGCUGGAGGCCUCGCUGGCUGUCUACCUGAUACACAUAAAACAGCUGCUGUGGGGCUGCUGGAUCUGGCUAACCAUGCAGUGA